AAAGUGUUAGUGGGGGUCUUGUAUUUGUGUUGGUUACUUUGUCAAUGUGACAGUUCUCUACUUAAGUUUGAGUCGAUUGGCAUGACGUAAAUUGUGUUACUGUGUAUAAAAAAAAGUGCCUAGCGCCGCUAAAGAAGUUUUCACUUCAAAAUUAACUGAUUUGCAAGACCAAAGUGAUCCCAUAAGUGUUCCGUAAACAAAGUUUUGUACGGAACACUAAAAAAUGCGUACUAGUACGUCGCAAUUUCAACUUCUAGUUGACUACAUGCAAAAGUAAGUAUCUAUGUACUUUAACUUUAAUUUGAGUUAUACAGUCUCCCUAGUUUAUAAUAAUAUGAUGAAAUAUUUUAGUUUCAAGUGGUUAGCAAAGUAUUUUAAGGUCCCUCUCAUCUCAUGUGUUAACAGGCAUGGUGACCUUAGCAAACCCAGCGAUGGGCCACAUGGGAAGGAGCUCAAUACCCGACGGUGGGCCGAGCUGACACAACUUUUAAACGCGGAUGCGACAGGCGUCACCAAAAAUACAGAUAAGUGGAGAAAGGUAUGUGUAUAACAUAUUAAAUAUAUUAAAAACGGGUCACUAAUAUCGGGUUUGGAUAUGUCUGUCUCUCACGGAAGUUUUGUGUGUAUAACCCAUUAGCUUUAUAUUUAUGUUUUCAUUUACCUAUUCAUUCAUCACAUUUUUUUCUUUGCAUGUACAUUUGGUUCGCUCUUCACUGAUUUUGUGUGUGUGUGUGUGUGCGUGUUGGGUGUGAAGGUGUGGAGUGACCUGAAGAACAAUACGAAGAAAAAGGCUGCUCGGAUAUUCAGAGCUGGAGCAGGAACUGGUGGUGGUCCUGCUUGUACAUUAAAAUUAAGUGACCUAGAGCAGAGGGUGCUGGCUAUAACAGGGACACGGGCAGCUACAGGCAUUGUAGAAAUUCCGGAGGUUGGCCUGGAGGUAGGGUAAUGGGUACUUCAUGCUUAAUAACAAUUUCGGCGGGGUGUGUAGCAUGGCGUCGGGCUCACAAGUAAUUUGAGCAGCGUGUACUAAGGCUGCUCCUAUACGCUUCCAUUUGUUUACUUAACAUGCAAUCCGCACACCCCGCCCCGCUGCACGCCCCACUCGAGCGUCCACUCAGGCCUUACACUUAAGGUGACAGUCCAUUUCCAACCGCAGCUGCACUACUGUUCAUUUUACUAUGGAAACUGACAGUAACAGCGACGCAUUAAGUACCAGUAGUGCAGCUGCAGUCAGAAAUGGAAUGUUACCCUAAGGAUAAAAUAAAAAGUAAGAACUCCCAUACUUAAUCCCCUACACAGAGAAUGCUGUCCUAUGGGAGUUUGUUAUUCUUUAUUUAGGGCCAGUUGCACCAACCACAUUUGACAGACUGAUCAAAGUCAGCCGGCGCGCCCAGGCGCUUUACUAUGAAACUUUCCAUACAUAAAAAUUUAGUGAACUCUUUAACGAUACGAACAGUUUGGUGGAACCGACCCUUAAUCUUACUCUAUGGUCAUACCUAAAUUAAAAUAUUUUACAGGAAGAAGUAACUGAACUGGCUGUACUACCGACACUUGAUAAUGAUGACAGCCCAUCUAUUUUUAUACUACAUGAUGAGUUUGCUCAACAAACUUGUUCCAAUGUUGAAGAUUGGAAUCGGCCAGGGACAUCGGCUCAACCCCCAGUUUUUCCACCCUUACCUGUGGACAGGAAUAACCAAGACUUGGCGGGCAGAGAGGAGCCUGAAAUAGUUAACAGCCCAGACAGGAGUGAGGCCGGCAUGACACAGGCGCAGGAGCCUGCGACUCGGGCCGCGCGGAUGGCUGCUGGAGGCAGGCAGCACGCGCCGCAGAGUCCUACGCCCUUACCACUUACGCCACGGCGGCGGCGAACACGUCCGACGCCAACAUUCUCCUCUCGUACUCGUACCCAGACACAGUCCGAUUUGGCAAGGCAAGCCUUCGUCAGGUCUGACUGUGAAUGGCGAAAUUUCCAAAUGGAGGCAGAGCGGGAGAGGAAUAGGUUAAGAGAAUUAGAGAUAAGGAUGCAAGAAAGGUGGUUAGAUUGUUUUAGUCAAUUGUUAGUAUUGGGAAAUAGAAUUGUAAGUCAUUGGGAAAAAAAAUAAAAA